GUGGGGAAUCUUGCGCAAUGGGCGAAAGCCUGACGCAGCCAUGCCGCGUGAAUGAUGAAGGUCUUAGGAUUGUAAAAUUCUUUCACCGGGGACGAUAAUGACGGUACCCGGAGAAGAAGCUCCGGCUAACUUCGUGCCAGCAGCCGCGGUAAUACGAAGGGGGCUAGCGUUGCUCGGAAUUACUGGGCGUAAAGGGCGCGUAGGCGGACAGCUUAGUCAGAGGUGAAAGCCCAGGGCUCAACCUUGGAAUUGCCUUUGAUACUGGGUGUCUUGAGUGUGGGAGAGGUGAGUGGAACUCCGAGUGUAGAGGUGAAAUUCGUAGAUAUUCGGAAGAACACCAGUGGCGAAGGCGACUCACUGGCCCAAUACUGACGCUGAGGCGCGAAAGCGUGGGGAGCAAACAGGAUUAGAUACCCUGGUAGUCC
rnacentral:rRNA from 1 species